CCCCGACUGCUCUCGGCUACUCUCGUUGAUCACAGCGAUUAACAACUUAAAUUCUGAUCUGCAUCUCACACAAACGUUCCAUAGUCCACUAGAGAGGACUGCGGCUGCUACGCACCGUCAUUUGGACUGCUUUUUGCAUUUCUCACAGACUACUAAGUCCUUCUUCAUCAGCUCUCCACAAUAUCAGCCCUUCCAAAAGCUUCCACAUCGCUUUCUCUCGUGUGGCACAUCUGCUCUCAGUACUUUACUGCCGUCUUCCAGUUUUUGCAUGUUUACUUAUUAUCUUUUAAUUUCUCCUCUACAGUCAACACUCACUCCCAUCACUAACUUGUCACAUGACAAAUCAGAUCUUCAGUUAAUUUGGCAAAAUCAGAUCACUUGAAGCUGUUCACACCAAGAGCAAGAACUAUAAUGAUAACUAUUUUAAACAUUUAUUUUUCAUACUAACAUGAAAUAACAUUCUGUUUAUUAUAAGUGUGUGCUGCAGUUAUGUUGUCUGCAUUUAAAUGUUCAGGCUAUUUACAGUCUGGUGGAUUUUGAUUGGCUGUCAAUGUUUUCCAUUGCUCCUAUAAUUAGCAAAUCAAUUGUGCCAUCGUCUCUGGAAUUUGGGCAGGAAAUGACCGAAUAUGG